UUUUUUUUUUUUUUUUUUUUUUUUAGGGCUGCACCUGCAGCAUAUGGAGGUUCCCAGGCUAGGGGUCGAAUUGGAGCUGUAGCUGCCAGCCUACACCAGAGAUCCAAGCCACGUCUACGACCAGCACCACAGCUCACGUCAAUGCCGGAUCCUCAACACACUGAGUAAGGCCAGGGAUUGAAUUUUUGUCCUCAUGGAGACUAGCCAGAUUUGUUAACCGCUGAGCCAUGACUGGAACUCCUUGGCCAAGAUUUUAAAUAGUAGCCAAUAUUGGGUUGGAAUCGAGAGCAUGGAAUCUGCCCCAUUGGGGGGAGUGUCAAUUUGUACAGUUCUUCAGAAAGGCAAUUUGGCAGUAGAUAUUAAGUUUUGUAGAUACGGUAUACUCUUAAACCCAGAAAUUUCACUUCUAUGCAUUGAUGCUAAAGAAAAUUUUGAACAAAUUCACAAAGGGAAUACAAAACUUACAAGGGAACAUUGUUUACAAAAACAAAAAGUUGGAAACGUUAGUAAUUGAAAUAGAGGAUUGGCUAAAUGUAUCAUGAUGCAACACUAAAAAAAAAAGGAUGCACAUGAUAAGAUUGUGAUAGAAACAGGUUUAUUGAACUGGAAAGACAUUAAAAAUACUGUUGUUAGCAAAAGAAAAUAUUUUAAACUUAAAAUAUACAUGCUUGUGUUGAUAGAAGAAUUAAGGCAAUUAUGUAUCUUUAUAAUUUUGGUAGUUUCAAAAUGUUCCACAAUGUAUUAACUAUGAGAGAUAUAUAUAGAAAGCAACUUCCCUGCCUUGGCCACUGGAAAACUUUUUGCAGAUGUGCAAAACAGGCAGUGACUGUGACCAGAAAAAGUUCGAAGUAACAUAGUUAACAUUUAUUGAGCAUUCAUUAUGUGCUAGAAACGCUGCUAGCUAAAUACCUUGAAUUAUUUCUUUUAAUCCUUACAAUUCUUAGGCCAAAAACCCUCUCAGUUGUCCUUCUUAGGAUUUGAAACAUGGAGAGAUUAAAUGACUCACCUAAAUUCACUGAGGAGGCAGCUUCCAAGGGGAUGUGAAUAAUUUGUAGGACUCGGAAAUAAAGGCAUAAAGUUGACCCUUGGGUGUUAAGGCACCAUCUCCCAAAGAAAGGAAUAUUAUCGAGUUAACCCCAAAAAGAAGGUAAUUAAAAAGCAAACCACCCAUUAUUAGAGGUUGAGCCCUGAGAGAAUUCAGAAGGGGCAAAUAACUACAUGGUGUGACUUUUGAUGGGGCGGAUAAUUUUUCUGCCAGGUAGGAAAUGCUUUACUGGUAAAUUAUUAUUAUUUUUUUUCAAUUGGGUUUGCUGCAAAGGAUAUCUGAUCUAAGAAGCAGCUUGAGAGUAAGUCAAUUCGAUUCACCUUGAUAACGUGGGGACUUGGUUUAGCACACAAUCCGUCCCUUCCCGAAAUCUCUCUCAAUAAACACUGACCUCCUCCUUCUCUGUGUCCUCAAGGACCUCUUUUUUGUUAUCUUGCUCUUCCUGAUCACUUUGUAGUCAGGAAAUAGAGACCCAAGUCCUAACUGUUCUAGUAACUCUAGAACUUAAACAAUGGGGCCUUAGAGGUGGCAGUACAGUUGGAGAAAAGCUGCCUAGGGACCUUCUUCAGGUUGUGUUUGCAUAGCACUUAGCAAAUGUUUCUUAGAAUGUGAAAAUAUGGAUUGUGUAGAUUCAGGAAUGGGCCACCGAUAAGCAAUGGAGCCGCAAGAAGUAAGGAUUCAGUGACUGGUUUGCAAAGAAAAUAUGCCCAGUGCCCUAAUACCUGGGUCUCUGUUGAUGCCCCCAGACACAGAGGAGUUGCUUUCACUAUUAAUAUUCUAUUUCAAAGAGUGGGAACGAGGAUCUUGAAAGGACAGAAAAACCUGCAUGACUGUCGUGUUUUUGUCCAUGACAUUCACAUUCCUGGAAAGCCUCUACUCAUCUUUCCCUUCCCCGUCAUCCACAGAAAUCCAGCUCUAGGGCCCCUCUGCUAUAGAGAAUUCUCUGGUGCUCCUAGCUGAGAAUUAUCUCCAUAUUCCCAGAACUCUAUAGGCAAUGUGUCUUGCUUUCCUUGGCUCCAACUUUUUGAAUGAGCUUUAUAGUUAGAUUGCUCUUUCCCUGAGGGACAGAAACUCUACUAAAUAACAACAAUGGCAAACCAACAGCCAUGACUGGAGUGGUGCAAGCCUAUUUAUUUUAAUAGAGAGAAGCCUAGUGGUUUACAGUGAGACAUCAUCUACCAGACUGAGCCUUCAGUACGCAAGGCUUCCAAUGACUGAAAAGUCCAGUGUAUUGAGAACCUAUUCUGUGCAAGGAUUUAAUUGGCUUAUAAUUCAAGACUAAAAUGUUGGAGAUGCCAGUUCGUGGCUUGGUUUCAUUAUCACUAAGACAGAGUUUCAGUUACUUCUUGGAUGCUCCAUUUCCUCUCUUAUCAAUGGGACAGAUGACACAGCAUCACUCAUACCUGAUAGAACUAUUGCGAGAACAAAAUAAAAUAACUGAUGUAAGAAAGUCUUCAUCCAUGACAUUACUGCAAAAUAUAAACCAAAUCCUACGUCAGAGGAGAUUGCAGUUUUAAGGAUGGGUUGCCAAUACCUAGAAUUCACAUAUGAUCAAUGAGGCCAACUUUCUGGAAAUGACAGUCAUUAAGGAAAAGACUGUGGCUGAAGAUGUGAUGGGGAGGUGAAGACAGCUUGUUUCCAAUCAAGGGGGAAUAUGAAUAUGCUGAAAAAUAAUAUACUGGCAAGUUUUCCUAAGGUACUGCCUAAACUUUGAUCUGUGAAAACAGGUUUUUCAGGAAGAAAGACGGAUCAAAUAAAUUUGAGUUAGACAAAAUCAACCAGGCUUUUUACCCACAGCCUUUAGAAUGCUAAUGUGACCCUUCAAGAGGGCGGGAGGCAGCCUGCAUCUUCUCAAGGGCAGUCACCUGGCCAAAGCUGAAACCCAACCCAUUGUAUUAGGAUCUGACAAAAGAAAGAAGGUGUCUAUGAUCUACCUGAAGUUUCUCAAAUAAGAGCUCAAAGAUGAAGACUUGGAUGAUUUUUUUUUUUUUUUUUUGGUCCUUUUGCCUUUUCUAGGGCCACUUCUACGGCAUAUGGAGAUUCCCAGGCUAGGGGUCUAAUCAGAGCUGUAGCCACCGGCCUACACUAGAGCCACAGCAACUCGGGAUCUGAGCCGUGUCUGCAACCUACACCACAGCUCAUGGCAACACUGGAUCCUUAAUCCACUGAGCAAGGCCAGGGACCAAACUGGCAACCUCAUGGUUCCUAGUUGGAUUCGUUAACAACUGUGCCACAACGGGAACUCCUGGAUGAUGUUUAUCCAGGAUUAUAAAGGAGGAGACAGUGACUUUGACAGAUGGAGGAACAUUAGUCCUUGAAAGCUGGAUUCUAUUAGGAGGGAAAGGGUGAAUCAGGCAUACCUGGGUCUGGGAGAACUCUGCUCUUCAGACAGCUGCUACCUUGGCCCCCAGUCCCUGCUCCUCCACCAGCCUUGUGAUUUCUCAUUCAGUUUCCAGGCACUCUGAGCAAACUAGAUGACGGUCACAGCAUCCUAUGAACUAAAAACUAUCAGAUCAGGGUCGGUUUUUCUUAUUAAUUAUCAAUUAUAAAAUUAAGUCAGUUUAAAUUCACUUAGAAAUUUAAAUAGAAGAAAUAUGGGCUAAGUGGACGUUCCUUUCUCACUUUAUCCCCAUAUCAUCACUCACUGACACAUGGUAGACAUAUGCCAUAUUAAAAAACAAAAUGACUACUGCAUAAUAUCCCAUAACUAUUUAACCACUUCUCUAUUUCUGGACAUUUAGGUAGUUUCCAGUUUUCCAUUAGGUUUUGUGAUAAACUUGGAAAUAUAUUUUUGUAUAUAUUUCAAUUUUCUCUGAGAUGGAUACACAGAAGUGGAAUGCCAUGACAAAAGGUAAAUACAUUUACAAUAUGGCUAUCUGCUGCCAAAUUGGCCCACAAAAGAUGGUAUCAAUUUACACUUCCAACAGAAGCAUAAGGGAGGUGCUUAUGAGUUUGAUCAGUUGGUUUAGUUGCUUAGGACAGAUUAUGCCAGCAGCAAUGAAAAAACUAGUUCUCUGGACUGCAAAGCCUCUAAAGCUUGGUGAUGAAAACUGCCUCUUCUAUGUAGGAUCUUGUCUAGGAGUCAGCAGAUUGCCCUAAACAACACAGACCUCAUGCCUCUCUUCAGCUUAAACUAGAGCAUCUUGUGGCUCCUGGCGUGUAUUAGAUUGCACAUUAAUUUCCUGUGAAAACCCCAAUUGAUUGCUUUUUGAGGAGUUCUGAGGGACCCAGUAGACAUCACCCUUCUUCUUUGGCCCUAGGUCUGAAUCAAUUAGAACUGGUCAAAAGAGUAAAACAUCACUUUUGCCAUUGUUAAAGCUGAUAUUGAAGAAUAUGAGUUAUAUCUGCUUUUGAGUGGGUUUCCCCAUUCUUACUUCUGGCAUUAAAGAAACAACACCUGUCUUAGGCAGCACUGGGUCACUGCAAAAUCUCCCCUAAGGCCAGCACUUUCACUGAUACAUUCAUUAGCUGGUUAGAGAACAGUCAGAAAUAUAUGCUCUGGGGGUGAGUGUGACUGGCAACCCAUUGCUACUGUUUCUUUCAAAGGUCACCUACCAAAUUAUGUCCCUUUCCUUCCCUGGGGAAGAAGAUGUGAGGAGAUAGAGUGAGGCCAGAUGUGUUACACUAAAGGUGCUCCCUCCACAAGAAAGAAACAUUAGGAAGGGGGAAAUUCUUGCCCUUUCUGGCCCUCCUUCCCCAGCCCCUAACAGGAAAGAGUUUCAUGAUUGAUUAGUAAUGUCUGCCAUGGUGUGGGUGUAGGAAGUUAUGGCAUAUUUGGCAUGGAUUUUCAAUCCUGCAAUAAUUAUACAAUGAUUAAUAUGUGCUUGGUAUAAAAGUUAAACACAACUGGGUCUUCUAAAUUAGGAAAGGAUUUCACUGUAGAUCAGCUAUUGCUUACAGAAUUUGUGUCUCUAUUUUUUGCAUGAUCUGAGUGUUUGUUCCAUGGUAGGGUGGAGAGAUGGUUUGCUCCCAGUAAUCUGUAACAGUCUAGGUCUUGAUACCUUUUGGCGCUCUUCCCGGCACAGAGCUGAUAAUAUUUUUAUUGGAAUUGGCUUAUAAUUCAGGACUUACAUAUCCAAAUCCCCCAGUGUCUGCAUGGGGGUAAGAGAGGCAGAAAGGAGAGAGAGAG
rnacentral:lncRNA from 1 species